GCUCCGUUGGUCUAGUGGUAUGAUUCUCGCUUAGGGCUAACCCUGAAGCACAAAUGCGAGAGGUCCCGCGUUCGAUCCGCGGAUGGAGCC
rnacentral:tRNA from 1 species